GACGAACGCUGGCGGCGUGCUUAACACAUGCAAGUCGAACGGCAAGGCCCUGCUUUUGUGGGGUGCUCGAGUGGCGAACGGGUGAGUAACACGUGAGUAACCUGCCCUUGACUUUGGGAUAACUUCAGGAAACUGGGGCUAAUACCGGAUAGGAUCUCCUGCUGCAUGGUGGGGGUUGGAAAUUUUCGGCGGUUGGGGAUGGACUCGCGGCUUAUCAGCUUGUUGGUGGGGUAGUGGCUUACCAAGGCUUUGACGGGUAGCCGGCCUGAGAGGGUGACCGGCCACAUUGGGACUGAGAUACGGCCCAGACUCCUACGGGAAGAAGGAGUGGGGAAUAUUGCAAAAUGGGCGGAGGCCUGAUAGAGCAACGCCGCGUGGGGGAUGACGGUCUUCGGGAUGUAAACCGCUUUCGCCUGUGACGAGGCGUGAGUGACGGUAAUGGGUAAAGAAGCACCGGCUAACUACGU
rnacentral:rRNA from 1 species